rnacentral:rRNA from 1 species
UACGGAGGGGGCGAGCGUUAUUCGGAAUUAUUGGGCGUAAAGGGCGCGUAGGCGGCUUGACAAGUCAAAGGUGAAAUCCCUCGGCUCAACUGAGGAACUGCCUUUGAAACUGUCUGGCUUGAGGCCGGGAGGGGGCAGCGGAAUUCCCAGUGUAGCGGUGAAAUGCGUAGAUACUGGGAGGAACACCAGUGGCGAAGGCGGCUACCUGGACCGGUACUGACGCUGAUGCGCGAAAGCGUGGGUAGCAAACAGG